GAUGAAGAACGUAGCGAAAUGCGAUAAGUAAUGUGAAUUGCAGAAUUCAGUGAAUCAUCGAAUCUUUGAACGCACAUUGAGCCCGCCAGCAUUCUGGCGGGCAUGCCUGUUCGAGCGUCAUUUCAACCCUCAAGCUCUGCUUGGUGUUGGGGCCCUACGGUUGACGUAGGCCCUUAAAGGUAGUGGCGGACCCUCUCGGAGCCUCCUUUGCGUAGUAACUAACGUCUCGCAUUGGGAUUCGGAGGGACUCUUGCCGUAAAACCCCCAAAUUUUCUAAUGGUUGACCUCGGAUCAGGUAGGAAUACCCGCUGAACUUAAGCAUAUCAAUAAGCGGAGGA
rnacentral:misc_RNA from 1 species